rnacentral:tRNA from 1 species
GCCUUUGUGGUGCAGUAGUCAGCACGCUCGGUGCAUAUUCGAGAGGUCCGUGGUUCGAGUCCCUGCCAGGGCA